UACGGGGGGGGGCAAGCGUUGUUCGGAUUUACUGGGCGUAAAGGGCGCGUAGGCGGUCGUGACAAGUCACUUGUGAAAUCUCCGGGCUUAACUCGGAACGGUCAAGUGAUACUGUCGGACUAGAGUACAGAAGGGGCAACUGGAAUUCUCGGUGUAGCGGUGAAAUGCGUAGAUAUCGAGAGGAACACCUGCGGCGAAGGCGGGUUGCUGGGCUGAUACUGACGCUGAGGCGCGAAAGCCAGGGGAGCAAACGGG
rnacentral:rRNA from 1 species